rnacentral:misc_RNA from 1 species
GAGAGCUGGGAAGGGUGGGGCGAGAAAAUCCCGAGGAAAGCCAGUCAAAGCGGGGAGAGCUGGGAAGGGUGGGGUGAGAAAGAAACCGAGGACAAGUCUAGGAGGAAGGCGAGCCAAAGCGGGGAGAGCUGGGCAGGGUGGGACGACGUGAAGGAGGAUGGCGACGAUAGUCAUCAUCAGCAGAACAAUUCAUCGAAGGGCGUCGGGCAAA